rfam:Megaselia scalaris, Durham, NC isolate 2 -- Noor lab, WGS project CAQQ02000000 data, contig: ctg0000195675
UAACUGGUCCUUUUCAGGACCACCAAAUUGUUUCUAAAGAGUGUUUU